AUUGAACGCUGGCGGUAUGCUUAACACAUGCAAGUCGAACGGUAACAGGCCUUCGGGCGCUGUCGAGUGGCGGACGGGUGAGUAACGCGUAGGAAUCUGCCUCAUAGUGGGGGACAACGUGGGGAAACUCACGCUAAUACCGCAUACGCCCUACGGGGGAAAGCGGGGGAUCUUCGGACCUCGCGCUAUGAGAUGAGCCUGCGUUAGAUUAGCUAGUUGGUAGGGUAAAGGCCCUACCAAGGCGACGAUCUAUAGCUGGUCUGAGAGGACGAUCAGCCACACUGGGACUGAGACACGGCCCAGACUCCUACGGGAGGCAGCAGUGGGGAAUAUUGGACAAUGGGCGCAAGCCUGAUCCAGCAAUACCGCGUGUGUGAAGAAGGCCCUAGGGUUGUAAAGUUCUUUACCCGUGUACGAUGAUGACGGUAACGGGGAAGUAAGACUCCGGCUAACUUCGUGCCAGCAGCCGC
rnacentral:rRNA from 1 species